rnacentral:rRNA from 1 species
UAUUGGACAAUGGGCGAAAGCCUGAUCCAGCCAUGCCGCGUGUGUGAAGAAGGUCUUCGGAUUGUAAAGCACUUUAAGUUGGGAGGAAGGGCAUUAACCUAAUACGUUAGUGUUUUGACGUUACCGACAGAAUAAGCACCGGCUAACUCUGUGCCAGCAGCCGCGGUAAUACAGAGGGUGCAAGCGUUAAUCGGAAUUACUGGGCGUAAAGCGCGCGUAGGUGGUUUGUUAAGUUGGAUGUGAAAUCCCCGGGCUCAACCUGGGAACUGCAUACAAGACUGACUGACUAGAGUAUGGUAGAGGGUGGUGGAAUUUCCUGUGUAGCGGUGAAAUGCGUAGAUAUAGGAAGGAACACCAGUGGCGAAGGCGACCACCUGGACUAAUACUGACACUGAGUGCGAAA